UCUGAAGAAUUAAAUGUAGGCUCUCAAAU
rnacentral:piRNA from 1 species